GUUGACCUCGGAUCAGGUAGGAAUACCCGCUGAACUUAAGCAUAUCAAUAAGCAGAGGA
rnacentral:rRNA from 1 species